CUCCUGGAAGCCGUCUGGAUAAAGUGGGUGGGUGGCAGGCCCAGCACCUUCAACAAGUACAAUGAGGUUGGUUCACUCUUUGUGGAGUCAUAAAGUCAAAGGCUGUUAAGAGCUAGGCAGAUUUUGGUUAAACUCUGCCUUUUACUGUGAAGGUCCCAGGGAUAUUAAGUAGUGACAUCCAGUGAGUGGACAGCAGACCCAAAGCCUAUGUCUUUCAACUCCUGAUCCAAGGCUGUUUCUUGCCCUAAGACUGAACGGUGCCCAUGUUACUCUACACAGUCAUCAGCACCCUGGACAGCGGCCAGGCCUCGCUGUCAGAUGCCCGAUCACAAUGGAUUAAAACGGCAUAUCACAACGCGGAGCACUAAGAAAGGGGUUCAGAGAGACUGAGAAAUUACCGCGGUCACCUUCAGCCCUUGUUCCCAGCCAUAAUCCACCCAACCCUGCCUUCCUGCUCCUCAGCGCCACCUGAAGUCAAGAGGAGACCAGGGGCUACAGCACAAGGCAACAGAGCAAGGACAGGCUUCCCACCCUCCUGGAUUCAGGUCUGUGUGUCGGUCAGCAUGUGGAUGGCACUGAUUCUGAGCUCAUUCACCAGCAAGAAUACUCACCUACAAUACAGAAGUCGACCAAGAAAAGAG